rnacentral:rRNA from 1 species
UACGUAGGGUGCAAGCGUUAAUCGGAAUACUGGGCGUAAAGCGUGCGCAGGCGGUUUUGUAAGUCUGACGUGAAAUCCCCGGGCUCAACCUGGGAAUUGCGUUGGAGACUGCAAGGCUGGAGUCUGGCAGAGGGGGGGUAGAAUUCCACGUGUAGCAGUGAAAUGCGUAGAGAUGUGGAGGAACACCGAUGGCGAAGGCAGCCCCCUGGGUCAAGACUGACGCUCAUGCACGAAAGGCGUGGGGAGCAAACAGG